UUGGAAGUAAAAGUNGUAACAAGGUCUCCGUUGGUGAACCAGCGGAGGGAUCAUUACCGAGUUUACAACUCCCAAACCCCUGUGAACAUACCAAUUGUUGCCUCGGCGGAUCAGCCCGCUCCCGGUAAAACGGGACGGCCCGCCAGAGGACCCCUAAACUCUGUUUCUAUAUGUAACUUCUGAGUAAAACCAUAAAUAAAUCAAAACUUUCAACAACGGAUCUCUUGGUUCUGGCAUCGAUGAAGAACGCAGCAAAAUGCGAUAAGUAAUGUGAAUUGCAGAAUUCAGUGAAUCAUCGAAUCUUUGAACGCACAUUGCGCCCGCCAGUAUUCUGGCGGGCAUGCCUGUUCGAGCGUCAUUUCAACCCUCAAGCCCUCGGGUUUGGUGUUGGGGAUCGGCGAGCCCUUGCGGCAAGCCGGCCCCGAAAUCUAGUGGCGGUCUCGCUGCAGCUUCCAUUGCGUAGUAGUAAAACCCUCGCAACUGGUACGCGGCGCGGCCAAGCCGUUAAACCCCCAACUUCUGAAUGUUGACCUCGGAUCAGGUAGGAAUACCCGCUGAACUUAAGCAUAUCAAUAAGCGGAGGAA
rnacentral:rRNA from 1 species